AAUUUCAGCUGAAAAAGUCAUGAACAUAAAAGUUGUAGAACUCAUCAAGACAUACAACUUUUAUUUUGGUCAUUUCUUCAUCCGACAAAGUGAUAGUAAUAUUGUUCACAAAAUUUACAUCUCUCUUAUAGUUUAUAAAACCAAAUGAGAGAUAUGUAAAUUUUAUAAACAAUGUUACUAUCACUUUGUCGGAUGAAGAAAUAACAAAAAUAAAAGUUAUAGAUCUCGAUGAGUUAUACAAUUUGUUGUUAAUGUCUUUUUCAAGUUGAAAUC
rnacentral:pre_miRNA from 2 species